rnacentral:rRNA from 1 species
GACGAACGCUGGCGGCGUGCUUAACACAUGCAAGUCGAACGGGAUCCGGGCUUUCGGGUUUGGUGAGAGUGGCGAACGGGUGAGUAACACGUGAGUAACCUGCCCCCUUCUUUGGGAUAACGUCGGGAAAUCGGCGCUAAUACUGGAUAUUCUUGCUGCAUCGCAUGGUGUGGUUUGGAAAGGGUUUCUGGUGGGGGAUGGGCUCGCGGCCUAUCAGCUUGUUGGUGGGGUGAUGGCCUACCAAGGCUUUGACGGGUAGCCGGCCUGAGAGGGUGUCCGGCCACACUGGGACUGAGACACGGCCCAGACUCCUACGGGAGGCAGCAGUGGGGAAUAUUGCACAAUGGGCGCAAGCCUGAUGCAGCGACGCCGCGUGAGGGAUGACGGCCUACGGGUUGUAAACCUCUUUCAGUAUGGAACAAGGAUCCUUCUUUUGGGGGGUUUGAGGGUACGUGCAGAAGAAGCGCCGGCUAACUACGUG